GCCUUCUAUUUGUGCAUUUUCCUAGGUUUAUGAUUUUGUUGUUGUGUUCAAUUGUUGAUCCUUAUUACUUCAUUAUGUCUUAUGAUAAGUCCGAUUCCUUUCUUGUUCAUUUUAAUGGAAAAAAUUAUUUUGCUUGGGAGUUUCAAUUCAAAUUAUUUGUCAAAGGGAAAGAUUUAUGGGGUCAUAUUGAUGGAAAAACACCAGCAGCUACAAGUCCAAAGAAUUUGGCAAAAUGGGAAAUUAAAGAUGCCCAAAUCAUGACCUGGAUACUUAGCUCAGUUGAGCCUCACUUUAUUCUUAAUCUGAGGCCUUAUAAAACUGCUAAGGAAAUGUGAGAUUAUUUGAAAAAGGUUUAUAAUCAAGAAAACAUAGCUAGGAGGUUUCAAUUGGAGUAUGAGAUGGCUAAUUUCACACAAGGGAAUCUUUCAAUUGAGGAAUAUUUUUCUGGUUUUCAAAAUCUUUGGGCUGAAUAUUCAAACAUUAUUUAUGUUGGUAUCUCUGACGAAGCCCUCUCUGCUGUCCAAAAAGUGCACGAAACUAGCAAGAGAGACCAAUUCUUAAUGAAGUUGCACUCUGACUUUGAAGUCACUCGUUCUAAUCUGCUGAAUCGUGACCCAGUACUAGCUUUGGAUGCUUGCUUCAGUGAAAUUCUUCGAGAGGAACAACGCAUGGCAACUUAAGCAACCAUGGAACACAAAACCAAUUCUAGUGCUCCUGCUAAUGUGGCCUAUGCAGCAUAAGGAAGAAAUAAGAGCAGAGAUAUGCGUUAUGUCCAAUGCUACAAUUGUAAAGGAUUUGGUCAUAUUGCGAAGGAUUGCCCACAAAAAUUUUGUAACUACUGCAAGCAGCAAGGGCAUAUCAUCACAACCUAUCCGAUUCCACCUAAAAGAAAGCAAGGAGUUGUUUAUCAUGCCUCUAUUGGUACCUCUAGUUCUACUACAUUGCCUGUUUCAACUUCUGUUCCUACACGUCCUGCAAACACACUUACUCUUGAAAUGGUACAAUAGAUGAUUCUUUCUGCAUUUUCUGCCUUUGGACUCUUAGGAUCUAGUGUCCGGGAAGAUAAUCCUUAAGGGACCUAAAGUGGGACGACUCUUUCCACUACACUUAUCUUCUUCCAAAAUUUGUCCUACCUUUCCUUUACUUUCUUUAGUCUGUAUUGAUGAUAGACAAAUAAAUAAAAUGUGGCAUAAUCGUUUAGGGUACCCAAAUUCUCAUGUACUUAGUACCUUGUUGAAAUCUGGUUCAUUGGGCAAUAAAGAUUUUUCUGUUCUUUUUGAUUGUACUACAUGCAAACUUGGCAAAAGUAAAGUUUUACCCUUCCCAAAUAAUGCAUCUCGUGCAACCCAUUGUUUUGACAUUAUUCAUAGCGAUAUUUGGGGGAUUUCACUUGUUGCUUCUCAUGCAUGUUAUAAGUAUUUUGUCACUUUUAUAGAUGACUAUAGUUGAUUUACUUGGGUAUACUUUCUUCGGUCUAAGGUAGAAGUUUUCUCUGGUUUUCAACGUUUUGUCUCACUUCUUGAAACUCAAUUCUCUACCCACAUAAAAAUCUUAAGAUUUGAUUCUUGGGAAGAAUAUAUGUCUCAUGAAUUUCAAAGUUUUCUUCAAAAUCAAGGAAUCAUAUCUCAGUGUUCUUGUCCAUCCACACUGCAACAAAAUGGUGUUGCCGAAAGAAAGAAUCAUCAUCUUCUUGAUGUAGUAAGAAUACUUUUUCUUGAAUCAUCUGUUCCUCCUCGCUUUUGGUGUGAAGCACUUUCUACUGCUGUUUAUUUAAUAAAUUGGUUACCUUCUCCAACAUUACAAAAUGUUUCUCCUUUUUUUAAGUUGUUUGGGCAUUUUCCUUCAUACUCUGAUCUUCGUAUUUUUUCUUGUGUUUGUUUUGUACAUCUUCCUGCUCAUGACGUAACAAAUUUACUGCCCAAUCUGUUAAGUGUGCUUUUUUAGGAUAUGAUAUUACUCAAAAAAGGUAUGCUUGUUAUGAUCCACAGUCCCAUCAUAUUAGAAUUUCUAGGAAUGUGGUUUUCUUUGAAAAUCAAUAUUUUUUUUCUUCGUUUAUUGAACCACCAUCUUCCUUUUUAUCUCUUAUGUCACACUUUGCAGAUUCUUCAACAAUUGUGGAACAGUUCAAGCCUAGUUUUGUGUAUGAAAGACGUCGUCAAGUUGAUCCCAGUUCUCUUAUGAUUCUGCCCUGACACUAGAUCUUGUCACUCUUGUCAUACCUCUUCAUCAUCGAUCCACUCGACCGUCUAAACCCCCUGACUAAUAUGGUUUUUAUACACAUGUAUCUCUAUCAACUACCUUGUCUUCUAUUUGCAUUCCAUCUUGUUACACACAAGCUAUGAAACAUGAAUGUUGGAAAUAAGCAAUGCAAGAAGAACUGCAAGCACUUCAAGAAAAUUACACUUGGGACAUUGUUCCUUGUCCUCCCAUUGUCAAACCUAUUGGAAGUAAAUGGGUUUUCUGUAUAAAGCUUCAUUCUGAUAGCUCUUUGGAUCGCUACAAAGCUCGAUUAGUCGCCCUUGGUAAUAAAUAGGAAUAUGGGGUUGAUUAUGAGGAGACAUUUGCUCCUGUUGCCAAGAUGACUACAGUUUGGACCAUCCUAGCCAUUGUUGCUUCUAAAUCUUGGCCACUACAUCAAAUGGAUGUGAAGAAUGUUUUUCUUCACGGUGAUCUAAAAGAAGAAAUCUACAUGAAGCUUCCCUUUGGUAUGACUGCCUCCUCUCCUAAUGAUGUUUGUAAACUACGUCGUUCUUUGUAUGGGCUUAAACAAGCUCAUCGGGCUUGAUUUGAGAAGUUUCUUACUACGCUUCUUAAUUUCUCCUUCACACAAAGUCAAUAUGAUUAUUCUUUUUUCUUCCACAAGUCUCCCACGGGUAUAGUUCUCAUCUUGGUUUAUGUGGAUGAUCUAAUCAUUACGGGAACUGAUAAUGGGUUGAUUACUAAGCUUCAAGCAGUGUUACAUGCAACAUUUUGCAUGAAAGAUCUUGGCCAACUAACAUAUCUUUUGGGAUUGGAGGUACAUCAUCGAUCCAAUGGCAUAUAUUUAAACCAACAUAAGGACAUCCAAGAUUUGAUCACUUUGGUUGGUUUAGAAGGAACUACUUCAAUUAAUACUCCUAUGGAAGUAAAUGUCAAAUACAGGAAAGAUGAAGGGGAUCUUUUGGCUGAUCCAACUAUCUAUCGGCGUUCGGUAGGAAGUUUUAUCUACCUAACGACAACUCAACCUGACAUUUCGUAUGUUGUUCACCAAGUCAACCAGUUUAUGUCUUCUCCUCGACAUCUUCAUUUUGUUGUUGUUCGUCGCAUUAUCUGCUAUCUUAUAGGGUCCCUUACACGUGGGUUAUUCUUUCCUAGAGGCUCACCCUUACAGCUUCUGGCAUAUAGUGAUGCUGCAAGGUGUCUGUAUACUCGUCGGUCUACUACAGGUUGGUGUAUGUUUCUCGGCGGUGUCUUCAUUUCUUGGAAAUGUAAGAAGCAAGAUCGUGUUUCUAAAUCUUCUACUGAGGUUGAAUAUCGUUCAAUGUCUUCUUCUUGUUCUAAAAUUGUGUGGUUACGCAGUCUUUUAGAGGAGCUUGAAUUUUCACGGCCUGACUCUACCCCUCUUCAUGCUAAUAAUACAAGUACUAUUUAAAUUGUUGCAAAUACCUUGUUCCACGAACGUACCAAACAUAUCGAGGUUGAUUGUGACUAAAUCAGGGAAGCCUUGACCAGUAAAGUCAUCUAUCUCCCUUACAUCUCCAUAGAUCUACAAGUGACUGAUAUCUUUACCAAAGUUAUGACUAGACAACGCUAUUAGUUUCUUGUUGGUAAAUUGUUGCUGGUUGACUUACCGAAAUCAAUUUGAGGGGGAUGUUAAUAUAUAUUUAAUGUAAUUUAUUACAUGUUUUAAUAGGAUUAUAGUUGUAUUAUUUUAUAUGUGGCAUAUAUCCUAACUGUUAGGAAAUUUCUUAUAAUCUCUCCCUUUCUUGUAUAACUCCUGUAAUCUCUCACAUUCUUGUAAAAGCAUAUAUCUUGCUGUCUAUUUAAGAAAGAGAAGCCGGAGAAAGCAAAUCAAUUAUUCAAAACAAAAGCUCUUGUCAUAUUGUAAAAUAUUUUCUGGUCUCUUGAUAUUUUGGCAAUCUCAAUGGUUGCUUUUAUUUUAAGUUUUACUUGCAAUACAAGAAAACUGUCAAUUUUAUAUUCUUUCUCGUGAUUUUAGUUAAGUUCAACUCUUGUUGUUAACACUGAAAGUGACAUGACUAUACAUUGCUAAUACUGCUGCAAAAACUUUCUAGUGUCAAAUUACUACAUAAUUUUCUGUUAGAUGUUAGACUGCAAGUGAAUAAGGACAUCAAAUUUGAAAGUUCAUAGUAAGUCCUAUCCCUAUGAAUUCAUGCUUCUUAAUCUUCAAAAUUUUAACUUGUGAAAGCUUGCAAUGAUGAUGGAAAUGAGAUAACGAAUUAAAUAAAGGAAAGCCAGCACAGCGAAUUGAUGAGUGUACUUACAUACGAGUUUCUAGCAGUUUCAAGUUGGCAGAAAUAAGGAAGAUUUUCUGCAAAGUGUACAUACCUGCGAUGGUUCUGGUAGUAGUUGUCAAGCUGAUAAUAGAUAUAAAUAGGAGCUUCCAUUUCAUGCUCAACCUGUGAAGUUUGCAACAAAAUUGUUUGGUUUCAAUCAGGUCUUGUUGGUGUCAUCGCUUUGAAUAUAUGAAUUUGCAUUGUGAGCAUAUGAGGGAGGAAGGCAUCUAUCAUCAUAUCGGAAUAUAGCUUCCUCCACCUGAAAUGCAUCAGUAUUUCUUUAUUUAUUGAUGAAACGUUCAGCUUCAGCACAAAAUCUCAUUUGACACUGUGUAAGUAUGUAUACGAGAUGUUACACUCUCUGAUGCAAACAAUGUUAGAAGACCAAUAGGGAUGUAGAGGAUUCCGACGACAGAAAAUGUGGCAAUGACCUGCGAAAACAAAGGGAAAAUAAUCACUGGUCAACUGUUAGAACGUUGCAAAACCAAAUGAGGUAUGUGUGCUGAACGCUAUACCCAUCCAGGUGUUAGAAUUGGUUUCCAUGCAGGAAGGUCUUGCUGUGAAAAUUGUGUAUCUACAAUUAAAAAAAUAAAUGAGCAAUAAUUCAAACACAAGUUUGUGCAUGAAAUGACCUCAAGUCCUUCAGAUUUUAGUGCAAAUGUAGCAUUUGAGCAAUUGGCCUUACAAAUAGUUAAACAAAGCACCGAAAAAAGUUGGAUGCUUAUUGAUUAUUGAAAGAAACAGAUGGUUAUUUAUUUAUCUAUUGGAAUGAACAAUUGUUUUCAAGUUGCCACAUGAGAUUUACGUAACUUUGUUAAGACAUAGAAAGAGGGCAUGUUAAUGAGAAGAAAUUAAAGGAAAGAGGAGAUUUAUGUAACAAAGUGAAGAACAGACAUAU